GCAGGCUGCAACUCGCCUGCAUGAAGCUGGAAUUGCUAGUAAUCGCGGAUCAGCAUGCCGCGGUGAAUACGUUCCCGGGCCUUGUACACACCGCCCGUCACGCCAUGAGAGUCGGGAACACCCGAAGUCCGUAGUCUAACCCGCAAGGGAGGGCGCGGCCGAAGGUGGGUCCGGUAAUUGGGGUGAAGUCGUAACAAGGUACC
rnacentral:rRNA from 1 species